GUGUCAGCCGCCGCGGUAAGACGGAGGGUGCUAGCGUUGUUCGGAAUGACUGGGCGUAAAGGGCGCGUAGGCGGCCUGGAAAGUCGGGUGUGAAAGCCCGGGGCUCAACCCCGGAACGGCAUCCGAUACUGCCAGGCUGGAGACCGGGAGAGGAGGGUGGAAUACCCAGUGUAGAGGUGAAAUUCGUAGAUAUUGGGUGGAACACCGGUGGCGAAAGCGGCUCUCUGGCCCGGAUCUGACGCUGAGGCGCGAAAGCGUGGGGAGCAAACAGGAUUAGAUACCCUGGUAGUCCACGCCCUAAACGAUGUGCGCUAGAUGUCGGGGGGCUUGCCCCUCGGUGUCGGAGCUAACGUGUUAAGCGCACCGCCUGGGAAGUACGGCCGCAAGGUUAAA
rnacentral:rRNA from 1 species